AGUAAUGAAUCGCUAAUGUACCCCGGACUCUGAGAUAGCUGCCCGGAUUACUCCAGGAUUCCGGGACCGUUAACCGCACGGCAUCGUGUGGUUCUCAAAGGUCCGCCGGUCUGGGAGCAGGCGAUUUCGUAUCAGCUAGUUGGUGAGGUAACGGCUCACCAAGGCGACGACGCGUAGCCGGACUGAGAGGUUGGCCGGCCUCAUUGGGACUGAGACACUGCCCAGACUCCUACGGGGGGCUGCAGUAACGAAUCUUCCGCAAUGCACGAAAGUGUGACGGAGCGACGCCGCGUGUGGGACGAAGCCCUUCGGGGUGUAAACCACUGUCAGGGGUUACCAAGUUCUGAGGAGCCCCAGAGGAAGGCACGGCUAACUCUGUGCCAGCAGCCGCGGUAAGACAGAGGUGCCAAGCGUUAGGCGGAAUCACUGGGCUUAAAGCGUGUGUAGGCGGAAUUGUAAGUACCUUGUGAAAUCCCACGGCUCAACCGUGGAACUGCUCGGUAUACUGCUAUUCUUGAGCCACUUAGGGGCUGUCGGAACAAACGGUGGAGCGGUGAAAUGCGUAGAUAUCGUUUGGAACGCCAAAGGUGAAAACAGACAGCUGGGAGUGUGCUGACGCUGAGACACGAAAGCCAGGGGAGCGAACGGGAUUAGAUACCCCGGUAGUCCUGGCCCUAAACGAUGUCGACUAGAUCGUGGUGGCUCUGACGCCAUCACGGUCGAAGCAAAAGUGCUAAGUCGACCGCCUGGGAAGUACGGUCGCAAGGCUAAAACUCAAAGGAAUUGACGGGGGCUCACACAAGCGGUGGAGCAUGUGGUUCAAUUCGAAGCAACGCGCAGAACCUUACCUGGGCUUGACAUGCCAGGAUUAUCCCCAUGAAAGUGGGGUAGGCCCUUCGGGGUACAACUGGUACAGGUGCUGCAUGGCUGUCGUCAGCUCGUGUCGUGAGAUGUCGGGUUAAGUCCCUUAACGAGCGAAACCUUUGCCCUUAGUUACCAGCGGGUUAUGCCGGGGACUCUAAGGGGACUGCCGGUGUCAAACCGGAGGAAGGUGGAGAUGACGUCAAGUCCUCAUGGCCUUUAUGCCCAGGGGUUAUGGCAUUGUCACACACGUGCUACA
rnacentral:rRNA from 1 species